UUGGAUUGUAGGUGGCCUGAAUUGCAUGGUAGAGGAGAUUUCUCAUAGGUGGCUGUAGGUGGAGCUCAAGGUGACAAUGUUAACUUCGAGACAACUCCACUUUGAUAAUUCUCUGCUUUUGAAUUCCUGGUCUGAAAUGGACUAUAAACCACAACUUUCUCAAAGUGCUGUGAGAUGCAGGGAUGGUGUUUCAACCGCUUCCAUGGGCAGCCUACUGCAGUGAAUAAAGAGCAAGCCUUUGAAUAAAGAAAUUUUUCCUAAUAUCCCAUCUGAACCUUCCCCAGUGCAACUUAAGGCCAUUUUCUCUCAUUCUAUCACUUGCUACUCAGGAGAAGAGACCACCACGCUC